GAUGAAGAACGCAGCGAAAUGCGAUAAGUAAUGUGAAUUGCAGAAUUCAGUGAAUCAUCGAAUCUUUGAACGCACAUUGCGCCCCCUGGUAUUCCGGGGGGCAUGCCUGUUCGAGCGUCAUUUCACCACUCAAGCCUCGCUUGGUAUUGGGCAACGCGGUCCGCCGCGUGCCUCAAAUCGACCGGCUGGGUCUUCUGUCCCCUAAGCGUUGUGGAAACUAUUCGCUAAAGGGUGUUCGGGAGGCUACGCCGUAAAACAACCCCAUUUCUAAGGUUGACCUCGGAUCAGGUAGGGAUACUCGCUGAACUUAAGCAUAUCAAUAAGCGGAGGA
rnacentral:misc_RNA from 1 species